rnacentral:rRNA from 1 species
GCGCUUAACACAUGCAAGUCGAACGAGAAAGUGGAGCAAUCCAUGAGUAAAGUGGCGUACGGGUGAGUAACACGUGGGUGAUCUACCUUUUAGUGGGGAAUAACGGCGGGAAACUGUCGCUAAUACCGCAUAAGCCCGAGAGGGGAAAGCAGCAAUGCGCUGAAAGAGGAGCCCGCGCCCGAUUAGCUAGUUGGUGAGGUAACGGCUCACCAAGGCAAAGAUCGGUAGCCGGCCUGAGAGGGCACACGGCCACACUGGCACUGAAACACGGGCCAG